rnacentral:rRNA from 1 species
GACGAACGCUGGCGGCGUGCUUAACACAUGCAAGUCGAACGGAAAGGCCCUUCUUUUGUGGGGUGCUCGAGUGGCGAACGGGUGAGUAACACGUGAGUAACCUGCCCUUGACUUUGGGAUAACUUCAGGAAACUGGGGCUAAUACCGGAUAGGAGCUCCUGCUGCAGGGUGGGGGUUGGAAAGUUUCGGCGGUUGGGGAUGGACUCGCGGCUUAUCAGCUUGUUGGUGGGGUAGUGGCUUACCAAGGCUUUGACGGGUAGCCGGACUGAGAGGGUGACCGGCCACAUUGCGACUGUAAUACGGCCCAGACUCCUACGUGACACAGCAGUGGGGAAUAUUGUACAAUGGGCGCAAGCCUGUUGCAGCAACGCCGCGUGCGGGAUGACGGCCUUCGGGUUGUAUUCCGUUUUCGCCUGUGGCGAUACGUGAGUGACGGUAAUGUGUCAAGAAGCACCGGCUAACUACGUG